AUAAUAGCGGUGCAGUAUCCUAGUCAGUUCUGUUUUGCGGAAAGCGGGCCUAAAAAUCCGCAAAAUGGCACAUCGAUGAAGUUUCUGGUGUCUGAGCUUUGAACGCCCAGUUCGGGGCGGAUGCUGGGAGUUAAGGCUGCGGGGCAGCUUCCAAUGGCAUGGAUUCCUUGACCCCGCUUCCGCGGAGGCCUGCGACUGUGGGUGCCGUUGCUUUACGGCAUAAGCAUUUACGGCGCAGGGGAAAACCUGUAUUGCGGUUAGUAGCCCCCUAAAUUUCGGGGAGUGAAUGCUGUGUGCAGCGUAGCCAGCCUUGAGUGGGUUUGGCGGAUAGGUGAGCAGCCGUUUCGUGGCAGCGUACGAGCCCGGUUACGGUAUCGCACCUUGAAACCUCUCUCUGCAAAAAAGGAUAAGCAAAACAAAGGCUGUUUGGGAAAACCUCUAGGCUGUCGAUUAUUCGGGCGGAUACGGGAUUGCAGUACGGACUCAGUGGCAAUCAGGGAACGUUUUUAUACGUGGUUGUCUUUAAAGGGAAACCACUGUUUUGGCAACAAUUCAGCAGACAAUCGGGAAAGCCUUCCUGACCUAAGCCGUAAACUUUACCGUAUCCGCUGCCCUAUAC
rnacentral:sRNA from 1 species